AGAGCCCAUGUCCAAAACAAAAGGGCAAAGAUCAUCUCAAAUUUUCUCUAUUAUACCGCUGCUGGUUUAUUACAGAUUAUUAUAAUUUAAUUUAUCAAAGAUUUCUGCUUCUGGUGGCCAAUUUUUUUCUAUGUAUGUGCCUUUGUUUAUUCCUUUUACACUUUCACUAAUUAUUUAUCAUUGUUUUCUGAUGAAUUCUGUUUAGAUAUGUGUAGUUUUUUCAAGUUUCUUGAUUGUUUUUCUGGCUCUGAUCCUGCUAAUGAUCAUAUACUUUUCCUCCUCUCUGAUGGAAAAUUGAUGCUCAAACAUAGUUUAAUUUUUCUGCAAAAAUAAUUAUCUGUCGUGUGUGGAUGUGGUUUCUUGUUUAUGCAGUAUAAUUAAUUGUUUUCUCGGAAAGUAUUGAAUUUGGGUAAAGUUUUUGAGUUUAUUUUUUUAUUUUGAGAUUGACUUAUGGCUUUGGAAUACUUUUUCUGGAAAUUGGGUAUAAGUAUAAUUUCGGUGAAACAAAAAGAGGUAUUGUGGUAUCUUUGAUAUUAGGGAACCUUCAAAUGACUUUUGAUAUCUUUCAAGAAUCUUUCCAUUGCAAUAGAAGUAUGAAGGAAUUAUCCCAAUUCAUGAAAAGAUUUCUUACAAAGUUGUCUUUUUGGUGCAAAGUUCUAUCUAUGGAGAUUGGAGAUUCUAUAUUAUCUUAGCAUAAAUGGAUUUCUGAGUUUAUUCUCCGAAGUUAAAUGAUAGAAAGGGAAUUCUCUCCGAAGGUAUUCUGUGUAAUGUUGUUAUUGCCUUAGGUCUUCAGCGGUAACAAAUGGCAAAAAAGUGCUAGCAGAUUUUGGCAGUCUUUUUUGCCGGUUCUGCGAGUUAUUUUGUUUUGUUCGAUUAUAAAUGAAAAAGUGAAAUAUGUGUUGAUUAUUUGUUCCUGUUUGGUAAGUAUUUGUCUUAUCUGGUUUGCUAAUAAGGUAGAGUGUGGGCGCACUUCAAUGACAUGAUUCAUAAUUAUUCCAAUUAUUUGUUUGAUGCCGAGUUUUCACAUUUUAGCCAAAAAAAAAAAACACAAUUCUAGCAGGUACAUACUCACAAGAUAUUUAGCAUAUGCUUUGUUUUUUUGCCAGGAUGAUUUUUUUGUUAGCGGUCUACGUGGGUUUAUUUAGGUUGAUCAGUUAUUGCUCUGAUUUCUUUAUUGUCCUUGACUGUUUCCGAAAAAUAAAUUCCUGUAGUUUCCAGGGUUGCAAAUUGUUUUCUUGAGUUGGCGUGUCCAAUGGAGUUAAUAGUAGGAAAAUCAUUUUCUUAACAUUAUGAGAAGACAUUGCUGAAGGUUGAUGCCGGAGUUUCUUUCGUUUUCCUAGACAAUUCUACCUCAUGAUGCCUCACUAUACUGUACCAUGAAUUGAUUCCGGAACUUUGGGCAUUUCAGUUUCCUGCAUAUUAGCGGGAGUUACACAAUAUUAUGCAUUGACCUUUUGGCGACGAUGCCUGUUAAUUUUGAGCUCAUUAAAUCUGAAGCUGUUCUCUUAUUGCCUAAAAUCAGUUUGUAGCAUUAAUUGGGAGAGGAUGCUCCUGUUUGUGUUAUUGGAAAAUGAAAUAAAAAGAACACAUAAUUGUCACCUAUCCUGUAAAUAAUGCACUGGAACUUUAUGAAGUCGAGUAGGGCAUAAUGAUAAGUGAAUUCAAUCAAUAACAGAUAGAAACAUGUAUACGUUCUUGUGUAUUGAUUACUAGGAGCAAAUUUGCUCAAAGGUUUUAGAUUCAUAUUGUGUGAAUGUGCAUUUUUUAUAUCAAAAACUGGAUAGUUCAACCUGCUAAUGAAUUUGGCAUGCAUGCUUUUAGUACUCUACUACUUGACACAUUAUCAUUCUAUAAUUUUCAUGAACUGUGAACACUGUUUCUCUGUUAUGUUGGCUGAAAGGAUGUCAAGAUCUUGAUAUACUUUCUUGUUAUUAAUGUUGUAUUUAAAAAUACACUAUUAUGUUGUGGAUUAUGAGAAUUUAAGAACUCUCAUAUAUUUCGCUAUCAUCUAAGAACACAUAUUAUAUUGGUAUACUUGUGAAAAGUUCAUAGAUCCUCACCUUCCAAGACUCAUUCUAGAUUACUUAAACAUAUGGCAGAGUAAUUAUGCAAAGUUCAAGUCCUUCUCAGGAGUUGGUUGAAUAAUCUAUCAAUUAGUUACUUUGAAUUGCUUGUGUACUAUCUUAUCAUGUGAUGGUCUGUUUCAUUAUUAGAGACCUCUUUUUUUGCAAGGAAAUCACAUCAACUAUGCUGAAAAUUCUUAUUUUACAUGUGAUUACUUAUUUUUGGCAUUUUCAUUCCAAAUGGAUUUUGUAGUGGAAUAAUAACUUCAUUGUGGAACUUGGGCUGAGGAGAGCUACGCGACAUUGAACUUUCAUGCCAUGGAGUUUAAAGGUAUAACCUGGGCUGGAAAUAUAUACCAGAAGUUUGAAGCUAUGUGUCUGGAGGUGGAAGACGUUGUGGUCCAGGUAAAGAUUCCUCUUCCCAUCAUUUUAGCUUUACUCUCUAGGCAAUCCUCUCAUGAGCCAGAGCCUAAGGCUCCUUAUUGACAGUUCAAUAGAAAAAGGCGUCUUACAUUCCAAUUGUUUUGAACUUUCCAUUCUCGAAUCGAAUUUCAUGCAACUAUUUGUGAAAUGAACUCAUGAUGUUUAAGUUUGACUUUGAAAUUAGAAGAAGCGAUGAAGAAGUGACCAGAAGCCCAUGUGUCGUACUCACAUGCUUUUGUUGGGCCCCUAUUUAGCUUAUUUCUCUCCUUUUACUGUUUGCUCUUUUUUUGGAGAUAUUAUAGUGUGUUUAAAGAGCCAAGAUAAGUUGUUGGCACGUUGCACAUGGAGACCCUCAUCACAAAUGUGGUGAAGUAUAUUUUCAUCCUUUUAAGACGAGACAUGUUCAAGCCCUAUUUUCUUGGGAAGUCAUAUGUCAGCCUAUCUGUGUUGUGUCAUGUUAGUGUCUAGUGUGCUUAUCUGUAUCCUUGCUUCGUAGAUCUUUGUUUUCCUUCUAUUAUAAGCACGAGCAUUCGAUGAAAUUUUGCUUAUUCGCAUGCAAAGUUUACAACAUGGUAUUAGCUAUACAAGACCUUCCUUUGCACUAACAGCAUCACAGUUCCAUUUUGCUAUUGUAGGUACGUUGAUAAUAUUUUAGUCUUGCCCUUCUUUCUUCUCUUGAGGAUGACAAAUGUAUUCAACUUCUGUUUUUGACUCGAUGAUCCUCAUUGUGAGGGUUCCUUUGUAUAUAUAGGGAUAAUAAGGCAUAUGACAUGGCUGAAUGUCAGCCACCAUUGUAUAUGUAUGAAAAAUGAGUAAUUCUCUACCAAUUAUACAAAGCAUCUUUUCUAAUUGCUGGCUGUAAAUUAGUUUUCCUAUCUAAUUGACAUCCCCCCUCAAAUUGAUACUGGUGAUCAAGAAGUAUCAAUUUGCCCACAAGAAAGAGAUGACGUUGUCGUGUCAUGGCUUUGGUGAACAUGUCGGCAAUCUGAAGAUCAGUAGAGAUAUGUGGAAGAGAAAUAAUANNNNNAAGCCUCUCUAAUUGAGUGAUAAUCCACUUCGACAUGCUUUGUACGUUCAUGAUAGAUUGGAUUUGCAACAAUUUGAAUAGCACUCGUGUUGUCCGCAUGAAGGGGUGUAGGAUUGGAUUGAGAAAAGCUAAGUUCAGCUAAAAGCCCACGAAGCCAAAUAAUCUCAGAACAAGUAGCGGACAUGGCACGAUAUUCAGAUUCAGUUGAAGAUUUAGACACACGAGCCUGCUUUUUACUCUUCCAGGAGAUCAAAGAAUCACCAAAAAAAUACUCCAACUCGUAACAGAACGGUGAGUAUUUGGGCAUCCAAUCCAAUCCGCAUCCCUAAAUGCAUCAAGACGAAUGGGAGAGCCAGUAGGAAAAAAAAUCCACACUGAGAAGUACCUCCGAGAUACCGAAUUAUGCGACGAACGGCCCCAAGAUGAAUAUGUCGUGGAGCUUGCAUAAAUUGACUGACUUGCUGAACUUCGAAUGAUAUAUCAGGCCUAGUGAUGGUCAAAUAGUUGAGGCUCCCAACUAAUUGACGAAAGAUAGUAGGAUUGGGAAGGAGGUUACCCUCCUCACUACGAUAUUUAACAUUGACUUCUAGAGGAGUAUUGACAAAUGAAGAAUCUUGAAAACCAUCCAAAGUAAUCAAGUCCUGGAUGUAUUUGUGUUGGUUCGAGGAUAUACCUGUAGAAUCAAUAUGUACUUCCAACCCCAAAAAAUAUGUAAGUGGACCAAGAUCCUUCAUGUGAAAGGAAGCCUGUAGAUGCUGCUGGAGUUGAGUGAUCGACCUAGAAUCCGUGCCAGCGAUAACAAUAUCAUCCACAUACACAAGUAAAAGAACAACACGAGUAGAUGUCUUGCAAAAAAAUAAGGGGGAGUCAUAUUGGCUCUGGAUAAAAGAAAGUUGUAACAAAGUAGAUCGAAACUUUUCAAACCAUGCUCGAGGAGCUUGUUUCAACCCAUAAAGAAACUUCUUCAACUUACGUACUUGUGAAGAAGAAGAAGAAAGACCCGGAGGAGGUGUCAUGUAAAUUUCUUCCUUGAGAUCAUCAUGAAGGAAAGCAUUUUUUUACGUCCAUUUGGUGAAGAGGCCACAUGUGAGAGGCAGCAAUAGAAAGAAUAGUGCGUGUCGUAGUCAUUUUUGCCAUUGGAGCAAAUAUCUCAUCAUAAUCUACUCCAUAUUCCUGCCUAUUUCCAAGAGCAACUAGGUGAGCUUUAUAACGAUCCAGAGUUCCAUAAGAGCAAGCUUAAUAGAAUAGACCCACUUGCAACCAAUAGCCUUGACAUUAGGUGGACAAUGAACAAUAUCCCAAGUAUGAUUAUCCUGAAGCGUCCAAAGUUCUUCAUCCAUAGUCUUCCGCCAACAUUUAUGUUUAGCUGCUUCUGAAUAACUAGGUAUAGAUGUCAAUGUAGUGGCAAAUGAAUGAAAAGAACCAUAUCUAUCAGGCGGUCGAGAAAUAAGGGUAGAUCGUUGAGGACCCGGAUUAGGAGGUACAUCAGUAUUUGAUACCAACUCAGGCUUAGAAGAGAGUGGCUGGACAAGAUCAGAUGUGAGGUCAACUUUAGGAAGAGGCCUAUUUGGUCGACGUCUCUCAUAUAUGAGUCCAGGCUUGAAUCUUUCAAGAUGAGAAGUCAAGUCAUCAAAACAUGGAAGAAUACUAAUUUCAGGCAAAUGUUGAACAUGAGUAGGAAAGAAAGAUUGUUGCUCAAAGAAAACAACAUUACGAGAAAUACAAAAUCUGUUAGAACAUGGAUCAUAGCAAACAUAACCUUUGUGCGAAACACUAUAUCCCAUAAAGGCGCACUUAACAGAUUGUGCAGAAAGUUUGUGUCGUUCAUGAGAAUGUAAAUGAACAAAACAAAUGCAUCCAAAAGUAUGCAAGUCAUGAUAAGUAGGAUGUUGAUUAUGAAGGCAAUAAUACGAAGAUUCAAAGUGUAAAACUUGGGAAGGCAAUCUAUUGAUUAAAUAAACUACAAUGGACACUGCUUCAACCCAGAAUUUUGAAGGAGCAUAGGAAUCAAGUAAUAAUGUACGAGCAACAUCCAAUAGAUGACAGUUUUUCCGUUCUGCCACCCCUUUUUGUUGAGGAGUAUAAGGGCAUGGUCGUUGAGCCAAAAUCCCUUUUUGUUUUAAGAAAUCACAAAACUCAUGAGACAUAUAUUCUCCUCCUAAAUCAGAUCGUAAAAUUCUAAUACUAGUAGAGAAUUGGGUCUCAACAUAUGUCACAAAAGUCUUAAAAACUGAAAGUACGUUAGAUUUAAAAUGGAGAAAAUAGAUUCAUGUGUAUCGGCUAUAAUCAUCAAUAAAAGUCACGAAAUAUUUAUACUGGGCAUGAGAGGUGACAGGCAAAAUGCCCCAAAUAUUACUAUGCACAAUAUCAAAGCUUUUUUUGGCAUGACCACUGUGAGAAAGAAAAGGAAGAAUAUUACUCUUUCCCGAUUUGCAUGUAGAACAAUCAAAGCACAAAUUAUGAGAAGGAUUGGUUUUAUUCCCCAACAAACCAGAAUUUAACAAAUAAGAUAGGAUAAUGGAGUUUGGAUGGCCCAAACGUUUGUACCAAACAUCACUUUUAUUGUUAACGGUUAUACAGGCCAAAGAUAAACAACUAGGAAUAGAAAAAUGUAAUGAAAACAAUCGUCCAAUUUUAGGCCCCUUCAUGAGUAUCUUUCCCGACACUUGAUCCUGCACAAGAACACCAUCACAAGAGAAAUGGACAUCAUAGUUAUCAACUGAUUGACCAACUGAAAUAAGAUUUGUAGAUAAACCAGGAGAUAUAAAAAUGUCUCGAAAAGUAGAAUUAAUGUUACCAACAACAUCAAUAGUUAAAUGACUCCCAUUAGCUAUUUGAAUAUGAGAUGAACCUUGAUAUGGGCGAAUAUCACAAAGACCAUCGGAGGAACUAGUCAUAUGAUUUGAGGCACCUGAAUCAACUAGCCAAGAUUGAGGUGAAGUAUUAUGUUUACCUUGAAGUCCUAAAGCAGAAAAAGCUGAUGCAAUCAUUUGUUGCACCAUUUCAGGAGUAAGAAUGGGUUGCGCAACAACACCAUUUUAGGAGUAAGAAUGGGUUGCGCAGCAACAGAAGAUACCUCAGGAGCUAGUGGAUUGACAGAAACCUAAUAUGCAUUGGCUUAGCGAUCCUGACGUCGAACAGGACAGUUUUUUAUAAUGUGUCCCGACUUCUUGCAGUAAUUGCAUGACUUCUUGGUACAAUGAAUAGCAAUAUGCUCAUAGUCUUUACAGUUGAAACAUUGAGCUUUCCGCAUGUCCCUUCCCUUGCUUUUCUCGUGAGCUGCACAGGCGACGACAUUAGAUGUCAUGUGAUGUUGAUGAAAAGUGGCAUGUGUUGUGAGACGCUGCUUUUCUCGAAGUAAAUCCCCAAAACAUACAUCCAAAGAAGGAGGUGGAUCACUAUUCAUCAAAUUGCAGCGCGUAGCCUCAAAUUCUGGUUGUAACUUCAUCAGAAAUUGAUCACGUUUGCUUUGUUCAUGAAAGCGGCUAGGGAUUCUGGUGGUACUUUAGCAUAGAUAAUAUCAGUAAAUUCACCCCAUAAAUUUUGAAUCCCGGAAAAGUAAUCUUGGAUGUUGACAUUGCCUUAAGUAUAAUUUGCCAUCCCAUAUUCCAAUUGAAAUCGUCUGGCUGUAUGGUCCUGAUUAUAAACAUUUUUCAAAUACUCCCACAUAUCUUUAGUAGUUUUAUAUGGUCUCAGAUUUAAAACAAUCAUAGGAUCAACAGACCCUAAAAUUCAUGUCAUUACUCUUGCAUCUUCCACUGUCCAUUGAGCCAAUUUAUUAGCCUCAGUAAGAAUCGGGUCACUUCCAUUAAUGUGACCCCAUAAUUCUUUUCUCAUAACAAAUAAUCGAAAUUGAAAUUCUCAUGCAGAAUAAUUUUUUCCCGUGAAUCGCACACCAAAAAAUUCAGAAAUGUUGGUUGUCAUGGUACUAACAAUUAAUUAUAUCAAUAACAAUCCCCAAAUUAAAUUUUUCCAAGACAAAUGAAUUAAUUUGGCCCAAUAAAGUUAGCGUAAUAAAUGCUGAACACUUAGCCCAAAGUCACCUCUAAAACAAAUGAAUUAAUAUGGCCCAAUUAGGUGACCUAAUAAACGCUGAUAUUGGCCCAAAUCAACACACUUAGCCCAAGACAAAUUCACGUUAACUCACCAGUCACCGGAAUCACGUCGAACCUACACAGAGGACAUUGACCAAUCACCGGAAUCACAUCGAACCCACACACAGAGGACGCUGAAAUCGUGUCGAUUGCACUCAGCUGCCGGAUGAGAAGCUGGGUCGCUCACCCAAGAGACGCCGAAAAGGAGACUCCCAAAAUCACGUCAAGCCUACACGCAGAACGUUGGAAUCGCGUUGAUUGCACACCAAGAGACGCCGUAAGGAACCCGCGUCACUACACAUGCUAAAAAUUUCUCACAGAGACACCGGAGAUUCUCUGUAAUCACCCACAAUCAAUUCCCCUAUUUUUUCUAUAGGUAUUAUGGCUCUGAUACCAUGAGAAAUGUGUUCAACUUUUGUUUUUGACUUGAUGAUCCUCAUUGUGAGGGUUCCUCUGUACAUAUAGCGAUAAUAAGGCAUAUUACACGGCCGAAUGUCAACCACCACUAUACAUGUAUGGAAAAUGAGUAAUUUUCUACCAAUUAUACAAAGCAUCUUUUCUAAUUGCUGGCUGUAAAUUAGUUUUCCUAUCUAAUUGACAGAGGAGUCAUCGCCCUCGGAGCUCGUUUGUCAAGUGUCAACCGACUCACAUUAUCCUCAUUACAAUUUAAUAUGAACUAUUAAUUUUACAUAUGAAUUUGUUUCCAAAAGAUAAUUUUAGUUUUCAUAUUUCCCAUAAUUAGUUCUUAAAAAAUUGUUUAAUUCUUCUAGGUAGCUUCAAACUGGUAGCUAAUUCCAAAGGAAGGUCUUUAUAAGUGAAUUUAUAUCUUAUGUCAUCAAAUUCUGAUUUCACCUAGAAAUGGUUGAAUUUUUGUUUUGCAUAAAACAAUUACAUCCAAGGAUUUUUUUUUUUUUUUUUUUUUUGUCACAAACUAUAUAAUAAAUUUGGACUGCUGGUUCAGAAGGAAAACCAGGAACCGCUGUAGAUACCAGUCCGGUUAUUGGCCAAACCCGGAAAAUUUAAAAAAUGCUAAAAUUACCUAAGAACCAGCUGGGUCGAUACCAAAACUGUCUGGUCACACGAAAUUUUUUUAUUUACUCAUUUUAACCAUCGGCUUGACACUUUGGCUGUUGACCCUUUACAUUUUCCGAGUCAAUGCCAGGGAUGAUUCUUAUAAAAUUGGUGAAAACCCAUUAAAAACUAUCUACAUAACCAAAUCUAAACCGCAGCAAUGGGUAUCUAUGGUUUUAUUUGUAAAAGUUCUUUAUUGAUAUAUUUCAGUCAAUAAUGCAAUUCAUCAAUUUCACUCACACUACAACAUUGUUAAUUACUCCUGUACAGGAUACUGUUAAAUAUAUGGAAAACCAGGUGCAAAAAGCCGGUGUCAGUGUUAAAAAGUUCUAUUCAGAAGUCUUGCAAGAUUUGAUUCCUUCAUCAUGUGCGAAAGUAGCUGCGGAUGACUUGUCUAUGUACCCUUAUUCUCGCACUGAUAUCAAUAGGAAGCUAAAACCAUGCUUAACAGAGAACUGGGGAGAGGUUAAGAAUAAAACAACUGAGGAUAAAGUUAUUCAUGCCAUGGACACGUGGAAAAUAUCUCCGAUAAUUGGACUUGAAGAUGUAAACCAUCUCUCACCACUAUCUUCUGGAUUUCCUGUCCAAAAUGCAUGCUCUGAGGUCUAUUCAGCAAAAGACAAAAAAAUGGGCAUCUAUAAACGUCGUCCGAUUGGCAUCAAAAGAAUUUCUGAGAAAAAUCAUUUGUCAAAGAUAUCUGAACCAAUGACUCCGGUAUCAGCUGAAAAGAACUCAAGUGACGUGGAAGCAAGUACAGAGUUAGUCUCACGGGAAAGAUGUGAUUCUGGAGAAACAGUGAAUAUGAAUACACAGAUCUUUGAUCCUCCAAUUGAAUCUGUGGCUUCUAAUACAAUCCUAUCAGUUGAUCCUGUCAGGCGAAAGGAUGACGAUGCUCAGUGCAUCUCAUCUUGUCAUGACUUGCCCUCAGAAUCUAUUGGUAUUUAUUCGUGGAUGAGUUUUAGUGUGAAUCCUUCUUUCUUUCUCUAUGUGCGGUAUGAACAUUUUGCCCUUCGAUAGGUACAUCCAUGAAUGGUGGUACAGGGCUUCAAUUAGGUUCAAAUAUUCAGAGUCAUGCAUGUAGUGCUGAAUCUGGUGGCGAGGAGGUUACAUUGUCUGAUGAAGGUAUGUGUUUUUCUUUAUUUUAUAGAUGGAUAAUAUAAAAGAGCUCUUUCAUUGUCUUUUUGAUUAAAAAAAAAAAGGAACCUAUGAGUUACUUCGGUUGUUGACAAAAUUCUUGGUUCUUUCGCGUUGCUCUAAUUAGUUACCCGUGUAGAGAAAACAAUGAAUGCAUUAAGAAUUACAUUCAAUUUUAAUGAGUUCAAUAUGGAACUUUUUGUAGGAAAUAACUGAAGGAAAGAAUUUCUUUUAUAGUGUCAACAUUGUUUCCUUCCUCAAAUGGAGUAAAAAAAAAUUGAAAACCAGUAUGCCAAAUGUUAGAAAUUUUAGGUUCCUUGUGCUCGCCACGAGACAGCUCUAAAGAUGACCAACACCGUAAUGAAUUGUAAUUCCUUGAUUACGCUUGGAGGAUGUAGUAAAGUUACAAUGGAUGCAUGAAGAAUUGUGAACAAUGAUAACGAGUCUAAUAUGGAACCUUUUUUGAACUCAAAUACUGAAGACAGAAUUUCCUUUAUAGUGUAAAUAUUGAUCCUUCCCUCAAAUGGAGUAGAAAUGGAAACCCAUUUUACAAAUGCUAUAAAUUAUAGGUUUCUAUACUUGCAUUUGACGUAUAACUGCAUAAAAAUAAUGUUAAUGAAUCUUAUUUCUUGAUUUUCCCUUUGGCAUGUUGUUCUGAAGUAAUAUCACGUGUUUUUCAAAAUAUGUGGAGGCCAUUAUCAUGCUUCCAUUCUCGUUCUCCCUUUUCUCUCUCACAUACGAACAUACAUUGACAGAGAGAGAGAGAGAGAGAGAGAGAGAGAGAGAGAGAGAGAGAGAGAACCCCAAAAGGGCUUGGAUGUACCCACGUUAACAAUCUGGUGCAGUAGGAUCUCAACCGUUUCAUUCUUUCAGCCUGAUUCUUACGAAGAUCGCAUUUUUCUUUUCCAAUUCUUUGUUGCUGUAGCCGCUAGAGUAAAUUCAUAUAACAUCGAUAUGGAGGUUGAGAAUGCAGUCCUCGUUGAGCCUGGAGUGGAUAUCAUCAAGCGAGUUACAAAUACAAAGUUGGAGGAGUCUUGCAUUUUAGUGGAAGGGAAUGAGAUUCAUGUUGUUCCACAAGGCAUAGGCAAACAUAAAUCAUACAAGGUACUCUCUCUCUCUCUCUCACACACACACCAGAUAUAAAUCUGUAUGUAUGUGUAUAUGUGUGUAUUUUGUUUCUUACCGAGUAGUUUCUCUCAGAAAAAGAUAAGCGAAGCUCUCUCAACAAAAUUGGGAUUAAGAAAGAAACAAGAGUAUGCCCAGUGCAUUCCCCAGUCUAGAUAUUUAGGUGGAACGGGAAGUACAGAGAUCGUGAUUCCUGAUCGUACCCCGGACUUUGAGGAAAAGAAAUUGCCAGCACAAGAUUUUUGCGAAUCCGACUGGGAGUUCCUGUAGAUAUUCUGCUGCAAGUGAUGCUGCUUUCCCUAGAGACAUAUAACUGGUAAUGAAGAUGCUAUCUUGAUAUGUCAACGGCAGCCAAAUGUAUCAUAGUUGAAAUCAUAUUAUAUAUGGGAUGAAAAAUUGUGUAUUAAUGCUUGAAAAGCAAUAUCCUAUGAUACACUUAAAAUCUAAGCGUUAAGUAGUUUGUGGCCGAUUUUUAGUAUUUGUAUCUUACAUAUAUGUCACUCUCCUGGAUAAGUUAUAAAUGAAAGUUCUGGUUGAUAUUAUUUUUUCUCUUCGAUUUCCCAUCUCAAUGUUUUGUAGCUUAUUUGCAAAUUACAGCUACUAUGACAGCAUUUGUAAUCAUAGUGUAAAAUAUAUCUAAAUUGUGAUUUAGAUCUUCUAA
rnacentral:lncRNA from 1 species